rnacentral:rRNA from 1 species
UACAGAGGUCUCAAGCGUUGUUCGGAUUCAUUGGGCGUAAAGGGUGCGUAGGUGGCGCGCUAAGUCAGGUGUGAAAUUUCGGAGCUUAACUCCGAAACUGCAUUUGAUACUGGCGUGCUUGAGGACUGGAGAGGAGACUGGAAUUCAUGGUGUAGCAGUGAAAUGCGUAGAGAUCAUGAGGAAGACCAGUGGCGAAGGCGGGUCUCUGGGCAUCUCCUGACGCUGGAGGCGCGAAAGCGUGGGGAGCGAACAGG